UUAAUUGAAGAGUUUGAUCAUGGCUCAGAUUGAACGCUGGCGGCAGGCUUAACACAUGCAAGUCGAGCGGUAGCACAAGAGAGCUUGCUCUCUGGGUGACGAGCGGCGGACGGGUGAGUAAUGUCUGGGAAACUGCCUGAUGGAGGGGGAUAACUACUGGAAACGGUAGCUAAUACCGCAUAAUGUCGCAAGACCAAAGAGGGGGACCUUCGGGCCUCUUGCCAUCAGAUGUGCCCAGAUGGGAUUAGCUAGUAGGUGGGGUAAUGGCUCACCUAGGCGACGAUCCCUAGCUGGUCUGAGAGGAUGACCAGCCACACUGGAACUGAGACACGGUCCAGACUCCUACGGGAGGCAGCAGUGGGGAAUAUUGCACAAUGGGCGCAAGCCUGAUGCAGCCAUGCCGCGUGUGUGAAGAAGGCCUUCGGGUUGUAAAGCACUUUCAGCGAGGAGGAAGGUGGUGAGCUUAAUACG
rnacentral:rRNA from 1 species